GACGAACGCUGGCGGCGUGCUUAACACAUGCAAGUCGAACGCUGAAGCCCAGCUUGCUGGGUGGAUGAGUGGCGAACGGGUGAGUAACACGUGAGUAACCUGCCCCCUUCUUUGGGAUAACGCCCGGAAACGGGUGCUAAUACUGGAUAUUCACUGGCUUUCGCAUGGGGGUUGGUGGAAAGGUUUUUUCUGGUGGGGGAUGGGCUCGCGGCCUAUCAGCUUGUUGGUGGGGUGAUGGCCUACCAAGGCUUUGACGGGUAGCCGGCCUGAGAGGGUGACCGGUCACAUUGGGACUGAGAUACGGCCCAGACUCCUACGGGAGGCAGCAGUGGGGAAUAUUGCACAAUGGGCGAAAGCCUGAUGCAGCGACGCCGCGUGAGGGAUGACGGCCUUCGGGUUGUAAACCUCUUUCGCUCAUGGUCAAGCCGCAGCUUUGGGUUGUGGUGAGGGUAGUGGGUAAAGAAGCGCCGGCUAACUACGUGCCAGCAGCCGCGGUAAUACGUAGGGCGCGAGCGUUGUCCGGAAUUAUUGGGCGUAAAGGGCUUGUAGGCGGUUGGUCGCGUCUGCCGUGAAAUCCUCUGGCUUAACUGGGGGCGUGCGGUGGGUACGGGCUGACUUGAGUGCGGUAGGGGAGACUGGAACUCCUGGUGUAGCGGUGGAAUGCGCAGAUAUCAGGAAGAACACCGGUGGCGAAGGCGGGUCUCUGGGCCGUUACUGACGCUGAGGAGCGAAAGCGUGGGGAGCGAACAGG
rnacentral:rRNA from 1 species